rnacentral:pre_miRNA from 1 species
CAGUGGUUUUACCCUAUGGUAGGUGAGCCUGCCAAGCGCUACCACAGGGUAGAACCACGGAC